rnacentral:lncRNA from 1 species
UGUCCGCUUCACACUCCGCCGCCAUCAUGGUGAAGCUCGCGAAGGCAGGUAAAAAUCAAGGUGACCCCAAGAAAAUGGCUCCUCCUCCAAAGGAGGUAGAAGAAGAUAGUGAAGAUGAGGAAAUGUCAGAAGAUGAAGAAGAUGAUAGCAGUGGAGAAGAGGUAAUUUUAUCCAACUUAAUGCAGAAUUAUGUUAAAACUACAAAAUGGAGAGUUAAGACAUGAAAUUGGAUAUCUGUGGCAAAAAUAAGAUUUUAUUCAGGUAUGUCUUAUUGUAGUGGUUGAGUGUUUCACAAGCUCUUCAUUGACAUGUCAAGAUGUCAUUUGGCUAAGUAUUUGAAUGUGAGUGUAAGACGAGAUCUGGGAAUUU